GCCCACUGAUAAUUAUUAAAGGGCCGCAGUAUUUUGACUGUGCGAAGGUAGCAUAAUCAAUAGUCUUUUAAUUGAAGGCUUGUAUGAAUGGUUGAAUGAGAUAUAUACUGUCUUUUUUAAAUUUUUAUAGAAUUUUAUUUUUUAAUUAAAAAGUUAAAAUGUAAUUAAAAGACGAGAAGACCCUAUAGAUCUUUAUUUUUGUUGAUUAUAAAUUAAAAAGAAUAAUUAAAUUUAUAGUUUAAUAAAAAAUUUUACUGGGGUGGUAUUAAAAUUUAAAAAACUUUUAUUUUUUGUUUACAUUAAUUUAUGAAUAUUUGAUCCAAUUUUAUUGAUUAAAAAAUUAAGUUACCUUAGGGAUAACAGCGUAAUUUUUUUUUAGAGUUCUUAUCGACAAAAAAGAUUGCGACCUCGAUGUUGGAUUAAGAGUUAUUUUUAGGUGUAGAAGUUUAAAGUUUAGGUCUGUUCGACCUUUGAAUUCUUACAUGAUCUGAGUUCAAACCGGCGUAAGCCAGGUUGGUUUCUAUCUUUAAUUAAAUAUUAUAUUAUAGUACGAAAGGACCUAAUAUAAAAAAUAUAAAUUUUAAUUUUAUGAAUUAUAUUAAUAUUUAAUAAAACUAUUUUGGCAGAUUAGUGCAAUAAAUUUAGAAUUUAUUUAUAUAAUUUAAUUAAUUAUAAAUAGUAUUGUUUUAUAUAGAUUAUUUAUUAUCAUUAAUUGGAAGUUUAUUAUUAGUAAUUUGUGUAAUAGUAGGAGUAGCUUUUUUAACUUUAUUAGAACGUAAAGUUUUAGGUUAUAUUCAAAUUCGA
rnacentral:rRNA from 1 species